rnacentral:lncRNA from 1 species
GGGAGGGAAGGCUGGAUGGGACUGAGGAAGGCUGGGGAUGGGAGGGAUGGAAGGCUGGAUGGGACUGAGUAAGGCUGGGGAUGGGAGGGAUGGAAGGGACUGAGUAAUGCUGGGGAUAGGAGGGAGGGAAGGCUGGAUGGGAGGGAAGGCUGGAUGGGACUGGGACAGAGUAAGGCUGGGGAUGGGAGGGAGGUAAGGCUGGAUGGGACUGACUAAGGCUGGGGAUGGGAGGCUGGAUGGAGAAUAAAGUAGAAUACUCUAUUGCAGACAUGACAAUCAACCUCUUACAAUGAUUGAAAACCAUGUAACAAAAACAUUCAAAACUUGACUUACAAUACUUUACAAGGAACCAAUCAAUGUGCUACAGUUCUAACAAUAGAAUCGUCCCGGGACUAAAGGGAUUCUCUUAAGACCAAUGUGAUUGUCUCAGAGUUAAGAUAAAAAUAACACAUAAAACAAAGCAUUCAAAAGGGCUAGCAGCAGCCGCCACAGUUUAAAAGUUAAAAGACCAAACCUUUGAGAAAGGUCCGGGGCUAUGGGUAAUAUAAAUAACAUUUCAUAAGAGGUUUAUAUUAUUGAAACCAAUA